UUAUUUACCUGGCAGGGGAGAUACCAUAAUCAUGAAGGUGGUUCUCCCAGGGCGAGCUUACCCGUGGCAUUCUGGAUGUGUUGACUACUGCAAUUACCUCAAAUGUGGAAAUUCAACUGCAUAAUUUGUGGUAGUGGGAAAUUGCACUCACAUUCUCCCC